GACGUAGGAGGCGAGCGUUGUCCGGAAUUACUGGGCGUAAAGGCUCGUAGGCGGCCAACUAAGUCGGAUGUGAAAUCCCCAGGCUUAACCUGGGAACUGCAUCCCGAUACUGGAUGGCUUGAAUCCGGGAGAGGGAUGCAGAAUUCCAGGUGUAGCGGUGAAAUGCGUAGAUAUCGUGAGGAACACCAGAGGCGAAGGCGGUUACCUGGACAGUUUACUGACGCUCAGGCACGAA
rnacentral:rRNA from 1 species